CCUCGGGUUGCACCAGUGGGGAAUAUUGCACAAUGGAGGAAACUCUGAUGCAGCAACGCCGCGUGGAGGAUGACACUUUUCGGAGCGUAAACUCCUUUUAUAUAGGAAGAAGAUGACGGUACUAUAUGAAUAAGCGCCGGCUAACUCCGUGCCAGCAGCCGCGGUAAUACGGAGGGCGCAAGCGUUACUCGGAAUCACUGGGCGUAAAGAGCGUGUAGGCGGAUUAAAAAGUCAGAAGUGAAAUCCUAUAGCUUAACUAUAGAACUGCUUCUGAAACUCUUAAUCUAGAAUAUGGGAGAGGUAGAUGGAAUUUCUGGUGUAGGGGUAAAAUCCGUAGAGAUCAGAAGGAAUACCGAUUGCGAAGGCGAUCUACUAGAACAUUAUUGACGCUGAGGCGCGAAAGCGUGGGGAGCAAACAGGAUUAGAUACCCCCGUAGUC
rnacentral:rRNA from 1 species